rnacentral:lncRNA from 1 species
GGCUUCCUGUGGUAGUGAAGCACGUGUACCCAUCAUGCUUCAUGGUAUCUUUGACAAGAACAAACAAGAUGGCGGGCGGAGUGCAACUGGGGAAAGAAACUUCGACCAUUACACGGGUCUCUGAAAAGAAGAAACAAGAUGGCGGCUGGAGUGAAGCUUCGAGGUGUGAACAGAAACUUCGACCAUUACACGUGGAAUCAUCAAGGAAAGAAAGACUAGCUGAAUCUAUAAGUGUUAGUCUUAGAUGUUAUUUAGUAAAAUUACACCAGCGAAAACAAUUUCCUUUGAAUUGAUUGAGCACCAAUGUAAUUUUACUAAAUACUUAUUCACCAAUUAUUGAGUGGAUUCUGGUUGGUAUUUGCCUCAAAUAUUGGCUGAUCUUCACUUUGUCUUUGGUGAAUAAUCUUUAAUAUUAAAUUUAUCUACAUAUAAUGCUUUGUUGUAUGUAGAUUUGUUUUCACCACUUUAAGAAUUAGACCUUAUAAUAUCAAAGGUUGUGCAAGCUUUUCGUUACAAAUGAAAAGUGACCACANCUUUUGAAUUUUCUUACAAUUUACUAAAUGCUGGUAACUUAUGCACAUAUAAUGUCUCCUUUGGACCUGAUGACUGGCUGGCUUGGAUCAACUCUACAUAUUAUGAUAUAUAUUUGAUUGAUGUAUUAUUUUGAUUGCCUUUUAUUGCAUUUGACUAAUAUUUAUUGAUCUUGAUUUUUUGUCAUGUACAUGAAAAAGUUUCUUUCAAAAUUUUGUGUAUUUGCAAUCUACUUUUAUUUUUCCCAUGAGGCAAGUGUUAGUUAAGUAUUUUGCAUUUGAGUUUGAAGGAUUUUCAUUGCUCUAAGACAUCACCUUUUUCCCAUCCUUCCUUUGGCUUUCGAAUCAGAUUUGGCAAAUUCCAUGAAAAUCACAAAAUUUAGAAAAAUGCUUUUUCCUAAACAAUUUCAUUGUUUGACAUGCUUCCAUCUGUACAGUAUGCUAUCACUUUACUAAAAAUAUGUUUUUGUUUUUAAAUUAAAGAGAGAGAAAAAAAUACACAAAUAUCUCUUUUUGGCUUUCAACUUGGUUUAUUAAUUUUGUAACUUGUUCUGCUACCAUGGUUAGUGACAGGAUACUGUAUAUAUCAUGAUGAUUGUUAUUCUCAUUGAUGCAUUAGAAGCAUAUUUGAUUGUGUGGUUCUAUUUUCUUUGAUCACCAUAUAUUAUGAUGCUUUAAUAAACAUUUGCCUGCUACAUUCUGCACUCCUGGUUCACUCCCUUCANCAUGGUAAGUCAAGUGCAUAAUUUACCAGCAUUAAGUCUUGUAUUUUUCCACCAAUGUCCUCUUUUAUCAUCCAGUUGUUUUUCUGAAUAUCUUACAUUGCUAUUUAAAGAUAUGGUAGACCAUGUAUUUUGGUGUUACAUUCAUUUCAAGUUAUCCAGAGGAUGUUGGUUGGAAGGUACAAUUUUCUAAAUUACUUUUCUCCGACAAGUUCUUAGUUACCUUACAAACACUAAAACUUGCAGAGCAACAGAUGAGUCAUUUGAAUUAAUUCACUCAAAUACGUUCAACAAAGUAUCAUGGUCAAGAGAUUUAUGUUCUACCAAAGACAAUUUCUCAUUUAGUACAGUUAGUACAAAUUGAACUUAUUUUGUACUACUGUAGUCAACUUAUUGGCCCAUUACCUGUUGCAAGUGGUUGUAGUGUUUGUACUCUUCAGUGGGAUUGUUUCUCUAGAAAUGGUUCCAUUUAUUCUUAGAGUGGUGAAGAUGUAUUAACUUAGGACUAUGAGUGGACACACCAAUGGCCAGAUAGAAAUACUAUCUAAAUAUUUUCAUUUUUGGCCUUCUUUUACAUUGUUUGGCUAGAACCUAAAGACAUAAAAAGAUGAAUGCCUUUUUUAAAGGGUUCUCCAAGAAUUGUGAAAAAUUCUUUUCUCCCAGAGCUCCAACNGUUAUGGUAUUUCUUUGCACGAUGUCUUCAAUCUUGAUGUUUCCUUCAAGAUUCANUAUCUAUUUUUGGUUCCAUUUACUUAAUCACCAAUGUUGAAAGUCUCAAAACAAUAAGUGAUUUGAUUUUUCUCCAUAAAAUUUACCUAGUACUGAUAAACCUGAUCAGAAAAAAUACAAACAAACAAGAAGUAAUUUGGCAUCAGUAUUUCACCGGGCUUGGUGUGUUCAUCUCAUAGUCUGACAAAGGUGUUGCUUGAGUUAAAAGUACAACAAGAGAUAACAAAUGGUAUACUAAAACUAAGUUGAUUUCUGUCUGACUCUGAAAAGAGAUUUAUUCGUAAAAAUGAUUUCAAAUUCAAAAUUUUAUUUUACAAGUCAAAUUAUAUGUUGCCAUGUUUCAGGCACUGGAAUGAUUAACUGAAAUAAUUGAAAACAUUGUCUUUUAAAUUAAUUCACAUUAAGGUGGCUCAAUAGCAUUUUCUUGACACUACCUUUGGACUUUAACAAAUUGCAAAUACCCAUUUGGAAACAAUUUAUUGAAAGAAAUUCAAAUUGUGCAUACUCGGUUGCAAACAAUAUAUUGAAAGGGAACCUUUUCAAACCAGCUUAUGUUUUAUCAUAGUAAGAAGGAUUGGUCAGCAUAAAAUACCAUUUGUAACUCUUGCUGUAAUGCAGAAUAGACUGUAGGAUUGAGUAAACCAUGGUACAGUCUUGGGGUACCAGGAUAAGCUGACUCUGAUCUCAUCCUAAAAGCAUACUAUAACACACCAUGCUAUACCUUGCCGUACACCAUGGUUGGCUGCGAUCCUGCGAAGUCUAUUCUGUUACAAGUACUGGUAAGGCUCAGUGUGGACAUGGAACUUUUCAUUGAUCAAAUAUUAAGUGUUGGGGUGAGGUAUCUAAAAUCGGUCAUCNAAAAGAAACCAUCGAAAAUUGAGACUUUAGGAAUUUCAUAAAGCUCCAUGCAAGCUACCCUCUAAUCAGUUUAAGGCAGCUUUUUUCAAAUUGAAAAAAAGUUCCAUGUCUUAGCUGGNCCAAAUUAUUGCUAUAUACUAGGCAUAAAACUGGUGUUCACCAUCGUUAAAUUUUUCAUUUAAAAAAUCUAAAUUUCUCCAAUGAUCUCACUAAAAAUAUCACUUCGUAUUGGGAAUAUAUNUUGUUUUGGGUACUACAAUUGNAUUUGAAUUCUUUUUAACAAAGUACAACAUCAGUUUUAUGCCUUUUUUAGCAUUCAAUAUCAGUCUUUUAAUCAAGCAACACCUAUGUCUUGAGAAUCGUAAUCAAAUGCAUUGUCCCUGAGGUCAUCAGUUCAUCCUAUGCCAAACCCUUAAGGGUGGCCCUUAACACUUUGUUGAGGGCCAUUUUUUCUUAAGGGGAGGGUAGGUUUGAACUUUUGAUCUCAGGGACCUUCGCCUAAUUACCCUAGGGGCAAAAAUAAUCACAAAAAGACUUAGUAUAUAUUUUUUCAAAAUUUAUGGGGAUUUUUUACUUUUUUUCACAAUUUUUUAUUUUUUUUAUUGCCAAUUUGAUUUUUUUUAAUUUUUAAAGCCAAUUUGAAUUUUUUUUCUUUAAAGCCCAUUUCUGUUUUUUUUUGAGCCAAUCCUUCUUACCUUGUCUGUGCAUUCCAGACUUGCCUUGUUCCUUGCUUGUGGGUGGCUGUCUUUAUGCUUGUCCAAUUUUUCAUCUGAGAACCUAGACCUUACCUGGAUUUGAACCCUUACCUUCAACUUGCCUCUUGUCCAUUAGCCUGUGCACUUGUGCUGUAUACUGUUGGUUUAUUUGUUGAAGUUAAUGGUAUUGAUGUACCUUAAGUCAUAGGGCUUUGUAAUGCCUGGAAUUAAUUACUGAAUAAAAUUCUUAUAAAUAUU